rnacentral:rRNA from 1 species
UACGUAGGGGGCAAGCGUUGUUCGGAAUUACUGGGCGUAAAGGGCGCGUAGGCGGCACGACAAGUCGGAAGUGAAAGCCCGGGGCUCAACCCCGGAAUGUCUUUCGAAACUGUCGAGCUAGAGUGCAGAAGAGGCAACUGGAAUUCCCAGUGUAGCAGUGAAAUGCGUAGAUAUUGGGAAGAACACCUGAGGCGAAGGCGGGUUGCUGGGCUGACACUGACGCUGAGGCGCGAAAGCCAGGGGAGCGAACGGG